CAUACUCUAAUAGUUUACAGUAAAACAUUGGUCUUGUAAGCCAAAGCCGAAGAGCACAGCCCCUUCUUA
rnacentral:tRNA from 1 species